GACAGAGGGUGCAAACGUUGUUCGGAAUUACUGGGCGUAAAGCGUGCGUAGCCGGUUAUGUAAGUCAGAUGUGAAAGCCCCGGGCUUAACCUGGGAAUGGCAUUUGAGACUGCAUAGCUAGGGUGCGGAAGAGGGAAGCGGAAUUUCCGGUGUAGCGGUGAAAUGCGUAGAUAUCGGAAGGAACACCAGUGGCGAAAGCGGCUUCCUGGUCCAGCACAGACGUUCAGGCACGAAAGCGUGGGGAGCAAACAGG
rnacentral:rRNA from 1 species